AUGUGCGGAGUGUGAAAUUUUCCUUUUAUUUUCAUUUUUUUUUUUUGAAAAACCAAUAGCAUACUUCAAUCUUUCUGCAACAUAAAGCUCUUCUUCAAUGGAACCUAUUGAAAACAUCGGUGAUGAGUACCAAAACUAUUGGGAAACUAAAAUGUUUCUCCAGAAUGAAGAGCUUGAUAGCUGGGCUAUGGAUGAGGCGUUUUCCGGCUAUUAUGACUCCAGUUCGCCGGACGGUGCUGCUUCUUCGGCGGCUUCUAAGAAUAUUGUUUCAGAGAGGAACAGAAGAAAGAAGCUUAAUGAAAGGCUAUUUGCUCUUAGAGCUGUGGUCCCCAACAUUAGCAAGAUGGACAAGGCUUCCAUCAUCAAAGACGCAAUUGAUUAUAUUCAAGAACUUCAUGAUCAAGAGAAAAGAAUCCAAGCAGAGAUAAUGGAACUGGAAUCUGGAAAAUUGAAGAAGAAUCCUGGUUAUGACUUUGAGCAAGAGCUGCCUGUUCUGUUGAGGUCCAAGAAGAAGAAAAUUGAUCAAUUCUAUGACUCUAAUGGCUCUAGAAGCUGCCCAAUUGAAGUCCUUGAGCUGAGUGUUGCACACAUGGGAGAGAAGACACUGCUAGUGAGCUUGACAUGCAGUAAAAGAACAGAUACAAUGGUGAAGCUUUGUGAGGUAUUUGAAUCUUUGAAGCUCAAGAUUAUUACGGCCAAUAUUACAACUGUUUCUGGGAGGCUUCUCAAGACAGUCUUCAUUGAGGCAGAUGAAGAAGAGAAAGAUCAUUUGAAGAUAAAAAUAGAAACAGCAAUUGCAGCACUUAAUGAUCCACAAAGUCCUAUGAGCAUGUAACUAAUUUAAUCUCUUUGUUAUGAAUUUGGGGACUUUUUGCCAUUUCCUUGCUUUUUCUACUUUCCUCUUUUUUGGGUCUUCCACUUUUCUUUUUCCCCUUUACUUUCCUUUUCUGGGUCAUUGUUUAGUUGAUGAACACUUUGUAGUUGUGUCUCUCUCAUUUUCCAAAGAAAAUUUCACAGUCAUCAUGUAUUUCAAGCUAGAAAUAAUUGUCUUGAUGUUUCAAGGUAGAAUUGCAUAUCAUUGUUUAGAUACGGAACCCAUCCAUGUCGGAUUGAAAACAGAAAUUCUGUUUUUAGUCCAUUUUAAUCAGCAGGAAAAUAUACAAAAG
rnacentral:misc_RNA from 1 species